AGAGUUUGAUCCUGGCUCAGAUUGAACGCUGGCGGCAUGCCUUACACAUGCAAGUCGAACGGCAGCGCGGGGCAACCUGGCGGCGAGUGGCGAACGGGUGAGUAAUAUAUCGGAACGUACCCUGGAGUGGGGGAUAACGUAGCGAAAGUUACGCUAAUACCGCAUACGAUCUAAGGAUGAAAGUGGGGGAUUCGCAAGAACCUCAUGCUCCUGGAGCGGCCGAUAUCUGAUUAGCUAGUUGGUAGGGUAAAAGCCUACCAAGGCAUCGAUCAGUAGCUGGUCUGAGAGGACGACCAGCCACACUGGAACUGAGACACGGUCCAGACUCCUACGGGAGGCAGCAGUGGGGAAUAUUGGACAAUGGGCGAAAGCCUGAUCCAGCCAUGCCGCGUGUGUGAAGAAGGUCUUCGGAUUGUAAAGCACUUUAAGUUGGGAGGAAGGGCAUUAACCUAAUACGUUGGUGUCUUGACGUUACCGACAGAAUAAGCACCGGCUAACUCUGUGCCAGCAGCCGCGGUAAUACAGAGGGUGCAAGCGUUAAUCGGAAUUACUGGGCGUAAAGCGCGCGUAGGUGGUUUGUUAAGUUGGAUGUGAAAGCCCCGGGCUCAACCUGGGAACUGCAUUCAAAACUGACAAGCUAGAGUAUGGUAGAGGGUGGUGGAAUUUCCUGNUGUAGCGGUGAAAUGCGUAGAUAUAGGAAGGAACAC
rnacentral:rRNA from 1 species